rnacentral:sRNA from 1 species
GGAACUGACCUUUGUGAUAAGGGCAUAGAGCUUCUUCAAAGAGUUCACCGCAUAGGGGACCUCAGAAAUCAAAAUUACAUCAUAGCCUCCAUCAGCUUGGUCUGUCUCACUGGCCCUCUCCCAUGCACGGCUACCAGAAAGUUUCCUUGAUCGCCUGGGGCAAUUGUCGACACCAACUAUGCUGCUCCCAUCAUGGCUACUGCAGCCAUCCAUAAAGUCGUCCUCUGAGAAGCUAAGGUUUGUUGGUGCUGCAGGUGGGUGUACAACUGAGAGAAUAGUAGGGAGCUCCUCCCAGUCCCCAGCAUAGAAAUGUACAUUCGGGGCUAACAGUUGUCGUGAUGGUGUAACAGGGCUCUCUGAUGGUCUGUUCUGCCUGUCCCGAGCCUGCUCAAGGUUUGCAAGCACAUUGGGUAUUGCUCUGCAUCUUAUUGUUUCUGCAUUUGUGUCCUGAAAAUGAACUGUGGAUGCACCCUGAGGAAGCAUCGAAGCAUUCAGUCAAUCAGUAUUCU